GAUGAACGCUGGCGGCGUGCCUAUACAUGCCAGUCGAGCGAACGGACGAGAAGCUUGCUUUUCUGAUGUUAGCGGCGGACGGGUGAGUAACACGUGGAUAACCUACCUAUAAGACUGGGAUAACUUCGGGAAACCGGAGCUAAUACCGGAUAAUAUUUUGAACCGCAUGGUUCAAAAGUGAAAGACGGUCUUGCUGUCACUUAUAGAUGGAUCCGCGCUGCAUUAGCUAGUUGGUAAGGUAACGGCUUGCCAAGGCAACGAUGCAUAGCCGACCUGAGAGGGUGAUCGGCCACACUGGAACUGAGACACGGUCCAGACUCCUACGGGAGGCAGCAGUAGGGAAUCUUCCGCAAUGGGCGAAAGCCUGACGGAGCAACGCCGCGUGAGUGAUGAAGGUCUUCGGAUCGUAAAACUCUGUUAUUAGGGAAGAACAUAUGUGUAAGUAACUGUGCACAUCUUGACGGUACCUAAUCAGAAAGCCACGGCUAACUACGUG
rnacentral:rRNA from 1 species